UACCAGCACCCCGAGUGGUCGGGACGAUUAUUGGGCCUAAAGCAUCCGUAGCCGGUUUUACAAGUCCUCCGUUAAAUCCAACUGCUUAACAGAUGGGCUGCGGAGGAUACUAUGGAGCUAGGAGGCGGGAGAGGCAAGCGGUACUUAGUGGGUAGGGGUAAAAUCCGUUGAUCCAUUGAAGACCACCAGUGGCGAAGGCGGCUUGCCAGAACGCACUCGACGGUGAGGGAUGAAAGCUGGGGGAGCGAACGGG
rnacentral:rRNA from 1 species